UACAGAGGGGGCAAGCGUUGUUCGGAAUUACUGGGCGUAAAGGGCGCGUAGGCGGCCUUCUAAGUCGAACGUGAAAUCCCCGGGCUCAACCCGGGAACUGCGUCCGAUACUGGAAGGCUUGAAUCCGGGAGAGGGAUGUGGAAUUCCAGGUGUAGCGGUGAAAUGCGCAGAUAUCAGGAAGAACACCAAUGGCGAAGGCAGCUCUCUGGGACGGUACUGACGCUGAGACGCGAAAGCGUGGGGAGCGAACAGG
rnacentral:rRNA from 1 species